CCUGACGCAGCAACGCCGCGUGGAGGAUGACGGCCUUAGGGUUGUAAACUCCUGUCAGCAGGAAGGAAUAAUUAAAUAAUUAAUACCUAUUUAAUUUGACAGUACCUGCAGAGGAAGUCACGGCUAACUCUGUGCCAGCAGCCGCGGUAAUACAGAGGUGGCGAACGUUGUUCGGAUUUACUGGGCGUAAAGGGUCCGUAGGCGGUCUGGUGUGUCGGAUGUGAAAGCUCACAGCUCAACUGUGGAAUUGCAUUCGAAACUGCUAGACUAGAGUACUGGAGGGGUGAAGGGAACACUUGGUGUAGCGGUGAAAUGCGUAGAUAUCAAGUGGAACACCGGAGGCGAAGGCGCUUCACUGGACAGAUACUGACGCUCAUGGACGAAAGUUAGGGUAGCGAAAGGGAUUAGAUACCCCUGUAGUCCUAACCGUAAGCGGUGCGCACUAGGCGUGGGAGGCUUUACCCCCUUCCGUGUCUGAGCUAACGCAUUAAGUGCACCGCCUGGGGAGUACGGUCGCAAGAUUAAAACUCAAAGGAAUUGACGG
rnacentral:rRNA from 1 species